AUUGGAUAUAUAAAUAAUUAUUACGAGUGUAAAUUAAAUUUAUUAGUAUUUUUUUUUUUUAUUAAAAAAUUUUUUAAUAAAUAAAAAUUUGAUUUUGAUUUUUAUGGCAGUAAUAUGGGAAAUUUAUAUAUAAAAUUUUUGUUCUUAUAGUAUUGUUGAUUGUUAGAUUUAAGUAGUUUAUAAUAUUUGUAAUUAAUUUAAGUUAGCAAAGUUACUCAAAUAAGGUAGGUAAAAUUUGUGCCAGCAUCUGCGGUUAGACUAAGUACUUGAAUUGCUAUGGUUAAGUGAGAUAAUGGUUUAGUAAAGUUAAGUAAAUACUUGGGUGAAAUCUAGUAAAAUAAGAAUUUAGUACUUAGGCUUUUAUUUAAAUUGAUAAAUAAAAAUAGGAUUAGAGACCCUAGUAUAAUCAAUUAAACAGGUCUUAGAGGAUUAAAGAUAAAAUUAAAAAAUUUGGCGGCUUUUAGUUAUUAGGGGAAUUUGCUACUGGAUCGAUAAUCCUCGUUAUAUUUUAUUAAAUUUAGUUUUGUAUACCGUCGUCUAAGUGAUUUUGUUAAAAAUAAUUGCUUUAAUAAUUGAUUAUAUGUUAGAUCAAGGUGCAGAUAUAGUUUAAGGGUAGUUAAUUACAAUAAGGAGGCUUUAAACUAUAAGAAAGUAAGUAUUUUAAGUAGGUGAAUUUAAUUGUAAUUAUUAAAUUAGUUUGAAUAUAAACUAUAAGUGUACAAAUCGCCCGUCAUUCUCUUUGAGACAAGUCGAAACAAAGUAGAGGUACCUGAAGGUGUCUCU
rnacentral:ncRNA from 1 species